AACGAACGCUGGCGGCAUGCCUAACACAUGCAAGUCGAACGAGACCUUCGGGUCUAGUGGCGCACGGGUGCGUAACACGUGGGAAUUUGCCUCGGGGUAUGGAAUAAACUCAGGGAAACUUGAGCUAAUACCAUAUAAUGUCUUCGGACCAAAGAUUUAUCGCCCUGAGAUAAGCCCGCGUAGGAUUAGCUAGUUGGUGGGGUAAAGGCUCACCAAGGCGACGAUCCUUAGCUGGUCUGAGAGGAUGAUCAGCCACACUGGGACUGAGACACGGCCCAGACUCCUACGGAGGCAGCAGUGGGAAUAUUGGACAAUGGGCGAAAGCCUGAUCCAGCAAUGCCGCGUGAGUGAUGAAGGCCUUCGGA
rnacentral:rRNA from 1 species